UUUUUUAAGAGUUUGAUCCUAGCUCAGGAUGAACGCUGGCGGCGUGGAUAAGGCAUGCAAGUCGAACGGUCCGAUUUAUCGGGCAGUGGCGAACGAGGUAGUAAUACGCAGGAACGAACCUCCAAGUCAGGAAUAACUCAUCGAAAGAUGAGCUAAUACUUGAUAGACCCUCCGGGGUAAAGAUUUAUCGCUUGGAGAUCGGCCUGUGGGCUAUCAGCUUGUUGGUAAGGUAAAAGCUUACCAAGGCGAUGACGGCUAGGGGAGGUGAGAGCCUGACCCCCACCGAUGGAACUGAGACACGGUCCAUACACCUACGGGUGGCCGCAGUCGAGAAUCUUCCGCAAUGGACGAAAGUCUGACGGAGCGACGCCGCGUGAUCGAUGAAGCCCUUAGGGGUGUAAAGAUCUUUUAUGAGGGAAGAAAUCUGUUUUGCUUCGGCAAAGCUUAUUUGACGGUACCUCAGGAAUAAGGGGCUCCUAAUCUCGUGCCAGCAGGAGCGGUAAUACGAGAGCCCCAAGUGUUAUCCGGAAUUACUGGGCGUAAAGGGUGCCUAGGUGGUAUUAUUAGUCUUUUGUUAAAUCUUCGGGCUCAACUCGAAAAUCGCAAAGGAAACGGUAAUCCUAGAGAGUGUGAGGGGUGUACGGAACUUAUGGUGUAGGGGUGAAAUCCGUUGAUAUCAUAGGGAACGCCAAAAGCGAAGGCAGUACACUGGCGCACAUCUGACACUGAAGCACGAAAGCGUGGGUAGCGAAUGGGAUUAGAUACCCCAGUAGUCCACGCCCUAAACGAUGUUCUCUAAUCUUUCGGAGUAUCGACCCUCUGAGAGGUAAAGCUAACGCAUUAAGAGAACCGCCUGGGUAGUACGGCCGCAAGGCUAAAACUCAAAGGAAUAGACGGGGACUUGCACAAGCAGUGGAUUAUGCGGUUUAAUUCGAUACUAAACGAAGAACCUCACCAUGGUUUGAAAUUUCAACGACGACCUCAAGAAACUGGGGUUUCUUUCGGGCGUUGAAACAGGUGAUGCAUGGCCGUCGUCAGUUCGUGAUUUGAAUUGUUCCCUUAAGUGGGGUAACGAACGCAACCCUCAUCGUCUGUUAUAAGUGUCAGACGAGACUGCCUCGAACUAAGCGCAUGAAAUUUUUUCGUGAAUUUAGUUCGGGGAGGAAGGAGAGGAUGACGCCAGGUCAGCAUGUCCCUCUGAUACCAUGGGCUACACGCAUAAUACAAUGGCUACUACAACGGGUCGCGACGAGGUAACUCUGAGCCAAUCCUUAUAAAAGUAGUCUUAGUCCGGAUUGAGGUCUGCAACUUGACCUCAUGAAGUAGGAAUUGCUAGUAAUCGCGGGUCAGCUAAACCGCGGUGAAUACGUUCUCAAGUCUUGUACUCACCGCCCGUCAAGUCAAGGGAGCCGGGAGUGCCCGAAGUGUCGUCUUAGGCGACCCUAAGGUAAAUUCGGUGACAUGGACUAAGUCGUAACAAGGCACGGCUAGCGGAAGCUGGUCGUGGAUUAAUUCAAUG
rfam:Candidatus Nomurabacteria bacterium RIFCSPLOWO2_01_FTLL_33_24 rifcsplowo2_01_scaffold_8553, whole genome shotgun sequence.